UAUUCACGGUGUGUAUCCUCGUUCUUGCGCGCACACUACUGCUGCAGUGUUGGUUUUUAAUACUCACAGAGUGCGUAUACACGCACGACGACGCCGCCGCCACACGCGUAUAAUUUAUAUAGGGGAGAGUGGAUCCCUUUUCCUGCUAUUGUUUGCAGUUCUCCGCGCAGAAGUCGUCAUCGGUGGUGGUGGUGGUAGUGAUGGUGGUGGCGGCAGCUAUAUUGCGGGGCCAUCGCGCGAAGCCAAAAAAGGGUGUACGGAGUGAGCGAAAAAAUAGUAAAAUAGCAUCAACGCGCAUAUACGUAUAUAUUUAUAUAAACCUUUUACGUGUAUCGCACGCCUAUUGUACGGCGUCAACCCGUUAUUAAUACUUAUACCCGUGUAAUAAUAAUAUAUUUUAUUUUAAAUAUUAUAUUCAUAAAUGUAUAGGGGAACAUAGGGUGGGAAUACAUGAGGUAAGAUGGGACAACUGGAUUUCUCCAUAAUCAGUGAUAAUUUUAUAAAUACAACAUCUUUGAAUGGUUUUGUGGAGGUAUGUCAGGCGGUUUAUAAUAAGAAAUAAAUGUUGACUGAUUGAAAUUGCAUAUUAUCAGUGUUUUUUAAUUUUUGCUUUCUAACCAGUUAAUGUGUGCAAAAGUUAACAUCAUUCUAAGGUUUAAUUGAAAAUUAUUGGUUAUCCGGGGCAUAAUGAAAUAAAUUAAUGGGGGCAUGACGGGACAUGCCUAUUCCACAAAGGUCAAAUGAAGAAACAUCUAUUCCUAAAAGAAAAAGUUUAAACAGAGGAAAAAUCAUUGUUUUUACGGAAUCCUCAUACAAAAAUGAACUUGAAAAAAAA